rnacentral:rRNA from 2 species
AAACCAACCGGGAUUGCCUCAGUAACGGCGAGUGAAGCGGCAAAAGCUCAAAUUUGAAAUCUGGCGCCCGCCCGAAUUGUAAUUUGAAGAAGCGACUUUGGACCUGGCUCUUGUCUAAGUUCCUUGGAACAGGACGUCAUAGAGGGUGAGAAUCCCGUUAGAUGAGAUGCCCAGGGCCGUGUAAAGCGUUUUCGACGAGUCGAGUUGUUUGGGAAUGCAGCUCUAAGUGGGUGGUAAAUUCCAUCUAAAGCUAAAUAUUGGCGAGAGACCGAUAGCGAACAAGUACAGUGAUGGAAAGAUGAAAAGAACUUUGAAAAGAGAGUGAAAAAGUACGUGAAAUUGUUGAAAGGGAAGGGCUUGUGAUCAGACUUUGCAUUUCUAUGGCUUCCUUUCGGGGGGGUCCUCUGGAGUUGUAGGGCCAGCAUGGGUUGGAGGGGUGAGAUAAUGGGGAAGGAAUGUGGCUCUGCCUCGGUAGAGUGUUAUAUCCUUUUCUGAUGUCACCACCUUCGACCGAGGACUGCGGUACUAGGAUGCUGGCAUAAUGAUUAUAAGCCGC